rnacentral:rRNA from 1 species
UGAGGAAUAUUGGACAAUGGGCGCAAGCCUGAUCCAGCCAUGCCGCGUGCAGGAUGACGGUCCUAUGGAUUGUAAAACUGCUUUUGUACGAGAAGAAACACUCCUUCGUGAAGGAGCUUGACGGUAUCGUAAGAAUAAGGAUCGGCUAACUCCGUGCCAGCAGCCGCGGUAAUACGGAGGAUCCAAGCGUUAUCCGGAAUCAUUGGGUUUAAAGGGUCCGUAGGCGGUUUAGUAAGUCAGUGGUGAAAAGCCCAUCGCUCAACGGUGGAACGGCCAUUGAUACUGCUGAACUUGAAUUAUUAGGAAGUAACUAGAAUAUGUAGUGUAGCGGUGAAAAUGCUUAGAGAUUACAUGGAAUACCAAUUGCGAAGGCAGGUUACUACUAAUGGAUUGACGCUGAUGGACGAAAAGCGUGGGUAGCGAAACAGGAUUAAGAUACCCUGGUAGUCCACGCCGUAAAACGAUGGAUACUAGCUGUUGGGGGGCCAACUUCAGUGGCUAAGCGAAAGUGAUAAGUAUCCCACCUGGGAGUACGUUCGCAAGAAUG